AUGAUUUAUAUUUCCAUCACUUUUUCUCCCCAGAUUGGUAGUUUCUGGAGGGCAGGGACACUAUGUUCUUCAUGGUUUUCAGUUCUACUGAGUCUGGCUAAGUUUUAGAUAUGAUUAAGCAUAAAGAACUUCUCUGGGCUUUCCUGAAGCACUAUGGAGAUAUUUUAUUCUUCUGUUCAUCAGGGAUACUACUCUCAUACAAGCGAAGAGAAAACAAAAUGACCUGUGACACCCUGAGACUGUCCCAUGACCGAGAGAGAGAUUGUAAAGUUGGUGCACAGUUUGUCUAAAAUAAUUUGUGGAAUCAACUUGGUAGCAAUUGAAUCUGGACUUUGGAUGAGAAUGAAUUCCUUAAACAAUGCAAAUGGAUCAUUUCAACUUUUUGUCCCGUGACAAACCUCACUCAAAUGGGCAUAUCCAGGUUUGAUCCCCAGAAAAACUUUGGUGAAAUAAAGCAACAAGUAUGAGAGAU